UACGUAGGAUCCAAGCGUUGUCCGGAUUUACUGGGUGUAAAGGGUGCGCAGGCGGACUUAUAAGUCAGGGGUGAAAUCUCACGGCUCAACCGUGAAACUGCCUUUGAUACUGUAGGUCUUGGAUGAGCGAGAGGUUCGUGGAAUUCCGAGUGUAGCAGUGAAAUGUGUAGAUAUUCGGAAGAACACCAGUGGCGAAGGCAGCGAACUGGCGCUUUAUCGACGCUCAGGCACGAAAGCAUGGGGAUCAAACAGG
rnacentral:rRNA from 1 species